AAAGUUUAUCUUCUGUUUAUCUCGUACUUUAUCUGUUACUAGUUAAGUGCUGCUGAAGAGGCGGAGGGAGCUUCUCUGUAUGACUUGGUGGUCACGGUGCCGCACAUCCUGGAUGCUCGCACGGGUGGUAAUCUGGUCGCACACAUUAAAGUGGGUGAGACCUACCAUCAAAGAAAAGAGGGAGUCACACACCAGCAGUGGUACCUUUUCAAUGACUUCCUCAUUGAACCAAUUGAUAAAACUGAGGCUGCACAGUUUGAUGUGAGCUGGAAAGUGCCAGCCAUCCUGUAUUACGCUAAGAGAAACUACCACACCAAAUACGACCUCCGCAUUAAAAAUCCCAUAGAUGCUAGCGUGCUGCUCACAGAGGCGUCACUGGCUCGGAAGCAGAGGAAGACACAUGCCACUUUUAUCCCUCUCAUGGUCAGUGAGAUGCCGCAGGCUGGUGAUCUGGUGGGGCUGGACGCUGAGUUUGUAACACUCA